ACAAUCUACAACCAACUGGAUUGGAAUCAUAUGCAAUAUCAACUGCUGGAGGACCGUCUAUUGAAAGUCAGUACAGUGUCAUUAGGAAAGGUGAUAUAAUGGAAUAUGAAGAAGUACCUCCACCAAUCCCUCCUCAAUAUAAUUAUAAUGAAAUAAAUGUUGAACAGAAUGGACAAAGCCCCAUCUACUCUAUAGUCAAUGCAAAUCAAGUUAAUAAUGAUGGAAAAGGUCCUGUUUAUUCCACAGUAAGUC